GACGAACGCUGGCGGCGUGCUUAACACAUGCAAGUCGAACGGAAAGGCCUCUUUCGUGGGGUACUCGAGUGGCGAACGGGUGAGUAGCACGUGAGUAACCUGCCCUUGACUUUGGGAUAACUUCAGGAAACUGGGGCUAAUACCGGAUAGGAGCUCCUGCUGCAUGGUGGGGGUUGGAAAGUUUCGGCGGUUGGGGAUGGACUCGCGGCUUAUCAGCUUGUUGGUGGGGUAGUGGCUUACCAAGGCUUUGACGGGUAGCCGGCCUGAGAGGGUGACCGGCCACAUUGGGAAUGAGAUAAGGCCCAGAAUCCUACGGGAGGCAGCAGUGGGGAAUAUUGCCCAAUGGGUGGAAGCCUGAUGCAGGAACGCCGUGUGCGGGAUGACGGCCUUCGGGUUGUAAACCGCUUUCGCUCAUGACGAAGCUUUGUGUGACGGUAGUGGGUAAAGAAGCACCGGCUAACUACGUG
rnacentral:rRNA from 1 species